rnacentral:rRNA from 1 species
CAGCAGCCGCGGGAAUACGUAGGGUGCAAGCGUUAAUCGGAAUUACUGGGCGUAAAGCGUGCGCAGGCGGUUCGGAAAGAAAGAUGUGAAAUCCCAGGGCUCAACCUUGGAACUGCAUUUUUAACUCCCGAACUAGAGUAUGUCAGAGGGGGGUGGAAUUCCACGUGUAGCAGUGAAAUGCGUAGAUAUGUGGAGGAACACCGAUGGCGAAGGCAGCCCCCUGGGAUAAUACUGACGCUCAUGCACGAAAGCGUGGGGAGCAAACAGGAUUAGAUACCCCAGUAGUCCCUGUCUCUUAUAC